GACGAACGCUGGCGGCGUGCUUAACACAUGCAAGUCGAACGAUGAAGCUAGAGCUUGCUCUGGUGAAUUAGUGGCGAACGGGUGAGUAACACGUGAGUAACCUACCCCGAACUCUGGGAUAACUGCUGGAAACGGUAGCUAAUACUGGAUACGACCUACGAAGGCAUCUUCUGUAGGUGGAAAGAAUUUCGGUUCGGGAUGGACUCGCGGCCUAUCAGCUUGUUGGGGAGGUAAUGGCUCACCAAGGCGACGACGGGUAGCCGGCCUGAGAGGGUGACCGGCCACACUGGGACUGAGACACGGCCCAGACUCCCACGGGAGGCAGCAGUGGGGAAUAUUGCACAAUGGGCGCAAGCCUGAUGCAGCAACGCCGCGUGAGGGAUGACGGCCUUCGGGUUGUAAACCUCUUUUAGUAGGGACGAAGCGAAAGUGACGGUACCUGCAGAAAAAGCACCGGCUAACUACGUGCCAGCAGCCGCCGCUG
rnacentral:rRNA from 1 species